ACUGGCAAGGAUGACACUCUUGCCCUCACUGAGACAAUUCAUUGAUUAAAACCCUUGAUUGUACUCAUUGGUUCUGAGCCAGU
ensembl:snoRNA